rnacentral:rRNA from 1 species
AAUCAACGCUGGCGGCGUGCCUAACACAUGCAAGUCGAACGCGAAAGCCCCGCAAGGGUAAGUAGAGUGGCGCACGGGUGAGUAACACGUGGAUAACCUGCCUUUGAGUGGGGAAGUAACCUUCCGAAAGGAGGGCUAAUACCGCAUAACACCUUUAGACAAAAGUACAAAGGGUUAAAAGGAAGCAAUUCGCUCAAAGAGGGGUCCGGCGCCUGAUUAGCUAGUUGGUGAGGUAACGGCUCACCAAGGCUUCGAUCAGUAGCCGUCCUGAGAGGGAGCACGGCCACACUGGAACUGAGACACGGUCCAGACUCCUACGGGAGGGCAGCAGU